UUAAGCGACUAAGCGUACACGGUGGAUGCCCUGGCAGUCAGAGGCGAUGAAGGACGUGCUAAUCUGCGAUAAGCGUCGGUGAGGUGAUAUGAACCGUUAUAACCGGCGAUUUCCGAAUGGGGAAACCCAGUGUGUUUCGACACACUAUCAUUAACUGAAUCCAUAGGUUAAUGAGGCGAACCGGGGGAACUGAAACAUCUAAGUACCCCGAGGAAAAGAAAUCAACCGAGAUUCCCCCAGUAGCGGCGAGCGAACGGGGAGGAGCCCAGAGCCUGAAUCAGUGUGUGUGUUAGUGGAAGCGUCUGGAAAGGCGCGCGAUACAGGGUGACAGCCCCGUACACAAAAAUGCACAUGCUGUGAGCUCGAUGAGUAGGGCGGGACACGUGGUAUCCUGUCUGAAUAUGGGGGGACCAUCCUCCAAGGCUAAAUACUCCUGACUGACCGAUAGUGAACCAGUACCGUGAGGGAAAGGCGAAAAGAACCCCGGCGAGGGGAGUGAAAAAGAACCUGAAACCGUGUACGUACAAGCAGUGGGAGCCUCUUAAUGGGGUGACUGCGUACCUUUUGUAUAAUGGGUCAGCGACUUAUAUUCUGUAGCAAGGUUAACCGAAUAGGGGAGCCGAAGGGAAACCGAGUCUUAACUGGGCGUUAAGUUGCAGGGUAUAGACCCGAAACCCGGUGAUCUAGCCAUGGGCAGGUUGAAGGUUGGGUAACACUAACUGGAGGACCGAACCGACUAAUGUUGAAAAAUUAGCGGAUGACUUGUGGCUGGGGGUGAAAGGCCAAUCAAACCGGGAGAUAGCUGGUUCUCCCCGAAAGCUAUUUAGGUAGCGCCUCGUGAAUUCAUCUCCGGGGGUAGAGCACUGUUUCGGCAAGGGGGUCAUCCCGACUUACCAACCCGAUGCAAACUGCGAAUACCGGAGAAUGUUAUCACGGGAGACACACGGCGGGUGCUAACGUCCGUCGUGAAGAGGGAAACAACCCAGACCGCCAGCUAAGGUCCCAAAGUCAUGGUUAAGUGGGAAACGAUGUGGGAAGGCCCAGACAGCCAGGAUGUUGGCUUAGAAGCAGCCAUCAUUUAAAGAAAGCGUAAUAGCUCACUGGUCGAGUCGGCCUGCGCGGAAGAUGUAACGGGGCUAAACCAUGCACCGAAGCUGCGGCAGCGACGCUUAUGCGUUGUUGGGUAGGGGAGCGUUCUGUAAGCCUGUGAAGGUGUGCUGUGAGGCAUGCUGGAGGUAUCAGAAGUGCGAAUGCUGACAUAAGUAACGAUAAAGCGGGUGAAAAGCCCGCUCGCCGGAAGACCAAGGGUUCCUGUCCAACGUUAAUCGGGGCAGGGUGAGUCGACCCCUAAGGCGAGGCCGAAAGGCGUAGUCGAUGGGAAACAGGUUAAUAUUCCUGUACUUGGUGUUACUGCGAAGGGGGGACGGAGAAGGCUAUGUUGGCCGGGCGACGGUUGUCCCGGUUUAAGCGUGUAGGCUGAUUUUCCAGGCAAAUCCGGAAAAUCAAGGCUGAGGCGUGAUGACGAGGCACUACGGUGCUGAAGCAACAAAUGCCCUGCUUCCAGGAAAAGCCUCUAAGCAUCAGGUAACAUCAAAUCGUACCCCAAACCGACACAGGUGGUCAGGUAGAGAAUACCAAGGCGCUUGAGAGAACUCGGGUGAAGGAACUAGGCAAAAUGGUGCCGUAACUUCGGGAGAAGGCACGCUGAUAUGUAGGUGAAGCGACUUGCUCGUGGAGCUGAAAUCAGUCGAAGAUACCAGCUGGCUGCAACUGUUUAUUAAAAACACAGCACUGUGCAAACACGAAAGUGGACGUAUACGGUGUGACGCCUGCCCGGUGCCGGAAGGUUAAUUGAUGGGGUUAGCGGCAACGCGAAGCUCUUGAUCGAAGCCCCGGUAAACGGCGGCCGUAACUAUAACGGUCCUAAGGUAGCGAAAUUCCUUGUCGGGUAAGUUCCGACCUGCACGAAUGGCGUAAUGAUGGCCAGGCUGUCUCCACCCGAGACUCAGUGAAAUUGAACUCGCUGUGAAGAUGCAGUGUACCCGCGGCAAGACGGAAAGACCCCGUGAACCUUUACUAUAGCUUGACACUGAACAUUGAGCCUUGAUGUGUAGGAUAGGUGGGAGGCUUUGAAGUGUGGACGCCAGUCUGCAUGGAGCCGACCUUGAAAUACCACCCUUUAAUGUUUGAUGUUCUAACGUGGGCCCGUAAUCCGGGUUGCGGACAGUGUCUGGUGGGUAGUUUGACUGGGGCGGUCUCCUCCUAAAGAGUAACGGAGGAGCACGAAGGUUGGCUAAUCCUGGUCGGACAUCAGGAGGUUAGUGCAAUGGCAUAAGCCAGCUUGACUGCGAGCGUGACGGCGCGAGCAGGUGCGAAAGCAGGUCAUAGUGAUCCGGUGGUUCUGAAUGGAAGGGCCAUCGCUCAACGGAUAAAAGGUACUCCGGGGAUAACAGGCUGAUACCGCCCAAGAGUUCAUAUCGACGGCGGUGUUUGGCACCUCGAUGUCGGCUCAUCACAUCCUGGGGCUGAAGUAGGUCCCAAGGGUAUGGCUGUUCGCCAUUUAAAGUGGUACGCGAGCUGGGUUUAGAACGUCGUGAGACAGUUCGGUCCCUAUCUGCCGUGGGCGCUGGAGAACUGAGGGGGGCUGCUCCUAGUACGAGAGGACCGGAGUGGACGCAUCACUGGUGUUCGGGUUGUCAUGCCAAUGGCACUGCCCGGUAGCUAAAUGCGGAAGAGAUAAGUGCUGAAAGCAUCUAAGCACGAAACUUGCCCCGAGAUGAGUUCUCCCUGACUCCUUGAGAGUCCUGAAGGAACGUUGAAGACGACGACGUUGAUAGGCCGGGUGUGUAAGCGCAGCGAUGCGUUGAGCUAACCGGUACUAAUGAACCGUGAGGCUUAACCUU
rnacentral:rRNA from 1 species